rnacentral:rRNA from 1 species
AUUGAACGCUGGCGGCAUGCCUUACACAUGCAAGUCGAACGGCAGGCACGGGGGCAACCCUGGUGGCGAGUGGCGAACGGGUGAGUAAUGCAUCGGAACGUGCCCAGUAGUGGGGGAUAACUAGUCGAAAGAUUAGCUAAUACCGCAUACGACCUAUGGGUGAAAGCGGGGAUGCAGCACUUAAUGUUUUGGGAUGGCUACUUGUGGCCGCCUCGGGACAGUCUCAGGUUGAGAACAUUAAGUGCUGCACCUCGCGCUAUCGGAGCGGCCGAUGUCUGAUUAGCUAGGUUGGCGGGUAAAGCCCACCAAGGCUUCGAUCAGUAGCUGGUCUGAGAGGACGACCAGCCACAC